CACGUAGGGCGCGAGCGUUGUCCGGAAUUAUUGGGCGUAAAGAGCUCGUAGGCGGCCUGUUGCGUCCGCUGUGAAAGCCCGGGGCUUAACCCCGGGUCUGCAGUGGAUACGGGCAGGCUAGAGGUAGGUAGGGGAGAAUGGAAUUCCCGGUGUAGAGGUGAAAUUCGUAGAUAUUCGGAAGAACACCAGUGGCGAAGGCGACUUACUGGACACAUAUUGACGCUGAGGUGCGAAAGCGUGGGGAGCAAACAGG
rnacentral:rRNA from 1 species